GCCCCAACCACCACAACGCUCCACCCUCCCACCACCUAUCGGGAUCCGCCCCGGGGACAAUGGGGAUGACCCUCCCGACCACCGCGGCGCCACGCACACAACCAACUGCCCCCACCUCCUCCAACCAUCGCUUCUUCCCCGCCGGCAACCAAAUCGCUUCCUGCCGGCCGCCCCCAUGCUCUGCCCCGAUGCCCCACCUCUCCCUCCCCUGCCUCCUCGAAACCCACCCAACUACCAACGAUUGGUCACGCCGCCGAGCCCGAACAACGAAUCCCCACCUCGGUGGUCGCCGGGUUCACGCCAGAUCCACACCCUCUCCGGCGGGUUGUCCUACCUGCGGACAAAGGACACCGGCGGUAGUAGCCAGCACAACCUCUCCUUCGGCCGGCCCCGGGUACAUCCACGAGGGCGCCGACGUGGGGCAGCAGGGCCGGCACCUCUAAUUGAGGAUCAAGCGCGAGGAUAAUAGUAUGAUGUCGCCCGACGCGACCCUGCGCCUGUCGGGACCCGUGCGUGGCCAGCGGCGCUCCCCAAUUGUUCCUCUCUGCCAUGGAUCCACGGUGGGGCAGCACGACCAUGCAGGCUGGCAUGCGCGCGCAUGCAGUACAGUUGUGGGGGCAACGCAGCUCGUGUAUUCCUUCAGCCAGCGGCGCGUGCAGUUCGCUCCGAGCUUGGGCAUCUCUUUUUGAUGCAGCCUCGGUUCCUCCUCUCGGAUGCUUGUAGUACAACCCACCCGAGAACCUCAGGUGUUUUAGUCCUCAGCGAGCAAACAUGCAGUGCUGCUGAUGCAGCUCAUUCCCACCUAAUGAGCAACUAUAGCAGCGUUGGUGUACGUUGACCUCACUACCUCUCGGCUCUAUUGCAGCCUGACGAGUGGACGAGAAGAGUUGCUCUCUUUCCAUGGCCCAUCCACCUCGUUGGCUCACUGCCACGACGAUAAAGAUUUUCCGUGUGCAGUACAUUGUUUUUGUUGUUUUUCUGAGGAGAAAUCAAAGUGCAAAUGUAGUUAACUUUUUUUGUAAUUUCCUAGGGAACUAGAAGUUCAUAUUUCCUUUUAGGAAAAAUUCACUGUCUCUUGGAUAGGUUCGCUCCUCUAUCUGUUGCGGCUCACUUUGUUCCUUGUGAUGCAAAACACAAAAGACACAAAGAAAAUGACUGCUGGUAGGAUGGAACAAAGCGGUUCGUUUCAGUGAGGUUCACUCCAUGAAAAAUAUGCGGUUGGCCUUGUAAUAUUUUUUAUUAGCAUUAGAACAGGCAGCGCACAAAUGAUGCAGUAUGGCUAGUUCCAGCGUGCGGACCCUCAUAAGAGUUCACCUUGUAAUAUACGGCUUGCCUUGUACUAUUUUUAUUAAAAAAAUGUAUGUUUA